AUACCAUUUUGCAAAAGCUAAUUUAGGAAUCAAAUUUAACUGCAGUGUAAAAGCAGAAUUAGGGUGUGUUCACAUGUAUAUAAAGGAAUAUCUGGGUUAGGGUUUUUUUUAUCAAGGAAGUCCAAGAAGAAUAUAUAUUCAUGGUGGCAGUUUGUGGUGUUGAGGGGAAUGUUGGCUGGCUCGAGGCUUUGACAAAACAGGGUUCUUCUGCAACAAGAACUUCAAAAAGGCUUCGGACCAGGCUUCAUUCCCCUCAAAAACUUAUGACUUCUUCUUCUUCUUCUUCUUCUCCUUCGUCUUCUUCUUCUUCUUUUUCUUCUUCUUCUUCUUCUUCUUCUUCUUCUUCAGGCAGGGUUGAUUUUGAUUUGUGAGGGUUAGGUUGAGAGGAAUGUUGUCUGGCUCGAGGUCAUGGAGGAGUACGUGAUUUGGUUUUGUUGAAAUUUAAUGUUAUAAUUUUCUGUAUAUCCUAAAUGAUUCUCGGACCAGGCUUCAUUCCCCCCACCCAGCAGUUUCUUCAAUUAUUUUACCUUGAUUUAAUAAUCUCAUCUUCUUUAUUUACCAUAAAAGAGAAGACCCAUUUUGCAGAUCCCAAUUAAAGGUAAAAUUUUCCCAGGUGAGCUAUAUCUAUAUAUGUAGAUAUGUAUGUAUGUCUUUCAUUUCUCAUUAUAUAUAUCUGGAGAAAUCAUUGUGUUCUUAAGAAUUAUUCACGUUAUUCUUUUGCGUAUAUAUGUAUUUUACCUGUUAAUCAGCUUUUUUCUUGAGUACUUCAUGGAUAUCAUAUGCUCGAUCUCCACACUUCUGAAUCUGACAAAGAUGAAAUGAUUUUGAUUUCAUGACGUAUAAUUUGCCUUCAUGUCUAAUUCAUCUGAUGAUGCAGGUUAUGGCCUUGUCUUCCCCAGCAAAGAAAUUCAAGAUCGCCAUAACUUUAGCCGGCUAUUUUCUUCAUAAUUUCGUUCCAGGAAAUUAAUGGGUUUGAAUUUACAGUUAACGAGAAAGAAAGAACAAAGGCAGCGGCUUUCCCGGUCACUAGAUCAUCUUCCUUCUUCCUACCUCUGAGAAUGUCCAAGAAAA